CAACAACCGCACAAAUUGCCGUUGUCGGCCGUUUCGAAAAUUGUUUACUUUUGUGUGACAUAUUCAGAAGCGGUUGUUUUACACUUGUGAUCUCGGUGAAAUCGGUAUCGUUUUGAAUCAAUUCAUAACACUUUUGUUUGCAUUCGAUUAUUCACGUAUUUGAACGACAUCACAAUGAGCGGAGGCAAGAAAGAAGUCGACAAUUUUCGGAAAUUGAUGGACAGAGGUAUGGCUGUCGCUUGCAAGGACACAAAUUAUUCAGAUGAAUGUAUUCAGCAGCUACGUCAUUGCAAACGGGAUAUAGAAGCUAUAUGCAUUGCUCACCCACAGUUGGCUCAAAAUGUGAUGGAAGGCCCGUUCAUGAGAUACAUCCACAAAAAUCUCGAAGAAAAAACGGCCAAAAUGGAACGGGAUUUGCCAAGAAACAAAUCAAAAUGAAAUGUACAUCAAAUGCAAAUGAAUCUCUUGUAGAAUAGUGUUCAACUAGAAUACAUUAACGUUCAAACAAUAAAAGAGAAAUAAAGCCCAACAUUUCAAUUGGAAAAGAUAAAGUGAUCGUGUUUUUUAUUUUCAAAUUUCCAAGGACUUUUCAGAGCCAAAUAGUAGUGCUUUCGGUGAUCGUGAUUUUCUUGGUGAUGUUUCUUGAUUUUCUCGAUUUUCUCUACUGGGAUAAUUCUAUGAUUUGUAUAAAAAAAUAUUUCUUGCACACUUCAUUUUGUUCGUGUGACCGAGUAUUUAUUAAUUCGAUCGUUCAAUCAACCUAG